rnacentral:rRNA from 1 species
GACGAACGCUGGCGGCGUGUCUAAUACAUGCAAGUUGAGCGAUGAAGAUUGGUGCUUGCACCAAUUUGAAGAGCAGCGAACGGGUGAGUAACGCGUGGGGAAUCUGCCUUUGAGCGGGGGACAACAUUUGGAAACGAAUGCUAAUACCGCAUAACAACUUUAAACAUAAGUUUUAAGUUUGAAAGAUGCAAUUGCAUCACUCAAAGAUGAUCCCGCGUUGUAUUAGCUAGUUGGUGAGGUAAAGGCUCACCAAGGCGAUGAUACAUAGCCGACCUGAGAGGGUGAUCGGCCACAUUGGGACUGAGACACGGCCCAAACUCCUACGGGAGGCAGCAGUAGGGAAUCUUCGGCAAUGGACGAAAGUCUGACCGAGCAACGCCGCGCGAGUGAAGAAGGUUUUCGGAUCGUAAAACUCUGUUGGUAGAGAAGAACGUUGGUGAGAGUGGAAAGCUCAUCAAGUGACGGUAACUACCCAGAAAGGGACGGCUAACUACGUG